UCUCUGAAAACCAGCCUGCGUCACGAGGAGGAGGAGGUGCGCAGAAGCAGCUGCGCAGUAACCUGACAGAACUGGACUCAGUCUCAGGUUCAGAUCCAGGAUCAGAUCAGUCCACCCUGUGCAGAAAUGAGAUCCAUCAGCAGGUUCUGAUCCAACUCCUCAUAAGAACUGUUGAUCUGAGUGUUUGUUGCUCUGGUUGUUGUGGGUUUAUGUUUGUGUUGUGCUCUGAGGUUUGGAUCAGGUCAGCUCAUGUUUCCUGCAGCUCAGUGAUGMAACAGGAAGUGAUGUUUGACGGCGCACUCCAGGCUCUCCUGAAGAGAAACAUGACGACACCGGUCCAACUGUUCGGGUCAAACAGAACCACAUCCGAUCAAUACGGUCAUGUCGGGACAAAUCCAGGUUCAAAUUACCCACGUUCUCCUGAAUCUGCUCAUGAAGGUCUGAACCUGGUAACGUCCUGAAGCUGAAGAAAUCAGGUUUAAUUAGUCCAGACUUGCAUUAUCCUGACAUGAUUCAGCAGAAACACAAAGUAAAUGAGUCAUUUUCAACUAGUCAACUAUAAGAGUUUAGAAGACAUAAUAAAUCUCCUCCUCCUCAUCAUACCACACAUUUUCUUAAGUCCAGCCUGUCGCUGCAUCUGAUCUGAUAAAGUGAUUUCAUCUCUYGUCAGGAAUUUUACCCAAAGGCUUUAAAAACAGCAGUCAUCAAACCACUGAUAAAAAAACAAUCUGAACAAAUCACUACUGCAGAAUUACAGGCCGAUGUCCGACCUGCCAUUUAUCAGCUAAAUAAUUGAAAAAUCAGUGUUUCAACAGUUGAAUUGCUUCCUAACAAUAACCAACCUCUUUGACGUCUUUCAGUCUGGUUUCUAUCACCACAGCACUGAGACAGUCCUCAUCAGUGUUCAGUCACAUCCAUGUUAAAACAGACUGUGGAAGAACCACAGUGCUGGUUCUGUUGGACCUCAGCACAGCAUUUGGUACCAUCAAUCAUGACACAUUACUGGAACUACUGGAGAGCUGGGUUGACUCUCCACUCCAGUACUCAACUGGUUUGAAUCUUACGUAAAUAACAGGGAUUUUUGUUUCUAUAGGUAACUUCUUAUUAAAGCGGACAGACGUCACAUGUGGGGUACCCCAAGGUUCAAUCCUAAGACCCCUCUUAUUUAAUAUCUACAUGUUCAUGCUAGCUCAGGUYAUAACAGGAAAUAAGAUUAGCUACCAUAACUACGCAGAUCUACAUUACGAUGUCACCAGCUGAGUGAACCUAUAAACAGAUGCUUGGAACAGAUAAAUGGAUGUGCCAAAACUUUCUGCAGCUGAACAGAAACAAAACUGAAGUUAUCUUUGGACCUAAAGAGGAACGAUAUAGUCAACGCACAGCUUCAGCUGCUACAGCUACAACCCCUGGCAAAAAAGUCUGGAAUCAGCAGUCUYKGAUGAGCACUCAWUCAGACAUUUCAUCCUGUAAAACAAACUCAGAUCAAAAACAUGAWACAAUAAURAGGUCAUUCCAAAGGUCAACUUGUUGUCUUUCAGGAACACUCAAAGAAAUGAAGAGAAAACAUUGUGGRAGUCAGUGAAUGUUACUUUUAUUGACCAAGGACAGGGAAAAGAUAUGGAAUCAUUCAAUUCUGAGGAAAAAAGUAUGGAAUCAUGAAAGGCAGAUAAACAAAAGACCAUUCAAAAUACAUCAGUAGUAUUUUGUUGAACCAUCUUUGUCUUACAGCUGCAGUCUCUGAGGCAUGGACUUGAUGAGUGACAAACAGUAUUCUUCAUCAACUCUCUUUGAUAGCAGUUACC